rnacentral:tRNA from 1 species
CUGGGUGUAGCGCAGUCGGCAGCGCACAUGCCUUGGGAGCAUGGGGUCGGAAGUUCGAAUCUUCCCACCCAGACCA